CAAUUGAAUAAUUGAACGGGUGCUCCCUUUUUCAAGGGAUAGAGGGAAGUCAGUGCAAAUCUGACGCGGUGCCGCCACUGUGAAUGGGGAGCUGGCCACACAAUGCCACUGGUCGGGCACCUGCAUUGGCCGGUGUCCGGUUGGGAAGGCGUGGUUAAAGCGAUGAUCCAUGAGCCAGGAAACCUGCCCGUUCUAUUUCACCGUU
rnacentral:ncRNA from 2 species